AUUGAACGCUGGCGGCAGGCCUAACACAUGCAAGUCGAGCGGAGCGGGGGACGGGCGGGUAAUGACUAGGAAGCUGACUGGUAGUGGGGGAUAACGUCCGGAAACGGGCGCUAAUAACGCAUACUCUCAGAAGAGCAAAGGUCGGAUGAGCUAGUUGGGGGGGUAAAGGCCUACCAAGGCGACGAUCCGUAACUGGUCUGAGAGGAUGAGCAGCCACACUGGAACUGCGACACGGUCCAGACUCCUACGGGAGGCAGCAGUGGGGAAUAUUGGACAAUGGGCGAAAGCCUGAUCCAGCCAUGCCGCGUGUGUGAAGAAGGCCUUCGGAUUGUAAAGUACUUUAAGUUGGGAGGCGUUACCAACAGAAUAAGCACCGGCUAACUUCGUGCCAGCAGCCGCGGUAAUAC
rnacentral:rRNA from 1 species